rnacentral:tRNA from 1 species
GGAGGGGUGCCCGAGUGGUUAAAGGGGGCGGACUGUAAAUCCGUUGGCUCAGCCUACGAUGGUUCAAAUCCAUCUCCCUCCACCA